GAACCUGCGGAAGGAUCAUUACCGAUGCAAUCCAAGAUCGCGUCUUUGACGUGGUUUACCGUGUGAACCGUACCAAACCUUUCAGGGGUCGGCGCGUCCGUUAAAUGGCGAGCGGACGCUGUUCUGUCCAACAGACAGCGGCCGUUCCGCCAGCCCCGCCCCUGUGUUUUUUAUCAUACCGUACGUCUGAAAGGUAACCACCUGAAAUUCAGGUGGUCUAUGCAAUACAAAAACAAGAGACAACUUUUGACGGUGGAUCUCUUGGCUCACGCAUCGAUGAAGAACGCAGCCAGCUGCGAUAAGUAGUGUGAAUUGCAGAAUUCAGUGAAUCAUCGAAUCUUUGAACGCAAAUGGCGCUCUUGGGUUCUCCCAGGAGCAUGUCUGUCUGAGUGUCGGAUAUCAUCCAACGCACGGAAUCGUGCGGCGUUGAGGCGUCACGGUCCACGCGGCCGUGUCCCUUGAAAGGUAGAGAGACUCGCCGCGGCAGGGGUACGUUCCCUGCACACGCGCGGAGGCUAAAAUGUUUUUGUCCUUCGCGCGCAGGUACGGCCCGACCGUCGAGUCGCAGAGGCGAACUAUUUACAUUCUUGACCUCAGUCAGACAAGUGAACCCGCAAUCACUAGUGAAUUC
rnacentral:rRNA from 1 species